CAGUUAGCUCAGUUGGUAGAACAAAGGACUGAAAAUCCUUGUGUCUCUGGUUCGAUUCCCAUCACCC
rnacentral:tRNA from 1 species